CCUACGGGUGGCAGCAGUGAAGAAUAUUGGUCAAUGGGCGCGAGCCUGAACCAGCCAAGUCGCGUGAGGGAUGACGGUCCUACGGAUUGUAAACCUCUUUUGCCGGGGAGCAAGCGUGCGUUCGUGAACGCGCGUCGAGAGUACCCGGAGAAAAAGCAUCGGCUAACUCCGUGCCAGCAGCCGCGGUAAUACGGAGGUUGCGAGCGUUAAUCGGAAUUACUGGGCGUAAAGCGCACGUAGGCUGUAUGUAAAGUCAAGGGUGAAAUCCCACGGCUCAACCGUGGAACUGCCUUUGAAACUGGCAAACUGGAGUAUGUGAGAGGGCGGCGGAAUUCCUGGUGUAGGAGUGAAAUCCGUAGAUAUCAGGAGGAACAUCAGUGGCGAAGGCGGCCGCCUGGCACAAAACUGACGCUGAGGUGCGAAAGCGUGGGUAGCAAACAGGAUUAGAUACCCUUGUAGUC
rnacentral:rRNA from 1 species